UGCAACUAUCAUCAUAAUCAAUCCCCAGAAUUUUUCAUCAUCCCACACUGAAACUUUGUAAAUGUUAAAUAAUAACUUCCCAUUUCUUUCUCUCACAGGCCCUAGAACUCAUUUUGCUUUCUGUCCCUCUGGAUUUGACUUCUCUAGAGUUAAUUUCACAAAUAUCAGGAAUCUUGGACUCUAGACUCAGCUCUCCUGUUAAUUGUAUGAUCUUUGAAGUCACCUGAUCAUCAGAACCAUUGAAAGAAAACUGAAAUGAGAGCAAGGAGAACCAAUUAUAAAGAGUGCUUCGGUUUGGCAAAGAUGCUUGAAAUGGCCAGUUUGUUGCAAGCGGAGCCAGGCAGAGAGCUGAAAAUGUAAAGUUU